rnacentral:rRNA from 1 species
AAUCUACCCAAUGGAGGGGGAUAGCUCGAGGAAACUCGAAUUAAUACCGCAUAAUCUCUACGGAGUAAAGGGGGCUUCGGCUCUCGCCAUCGGAUGAGCCUAUGCAGGAUUAGCUUGUUGGUGAGGUAAUGGCUCACCAAGGCGACGAUCCUUAGCUGGUUUGAGAGGAUGACCAGCCACAUCGGGACUGAGACACGGCCCGGACUUCUACGGAAGGCAGCAGUAGGGAAUAUUGGACAAUGAGCGAAAGCUUGAUCCAGCCAUGCCGCGUGUGCGAUGACGGCCUUAGGGUUGUAAAGCACUUUAGGUAACGAGGAAAAGUUAGGUGUUAAUACCAUCUAACCUUGACGUUUAUUACAGAAUAAGCACCGGCUAUAUCCGUGCCAGCAGCCGCGGUAAUACGGAUGGUGCAAGCGU